ACCUUAUUGGGAUGCAUUUGUUGUUUCCCUCCAGCUUGUGGCUAGUCCGAGUUCUCCAGCUAGGCUUCUUCUCUUGCCUCAGACCCCCGUAGAUGUUGUAGACUGAGGAGAAUGUCUGGUGGGCGGUGAACUCGUCUUUUCUCCUUUGUCCUCUGAAGCAAAUACCUGCUUUUCAGCAACACUGCCUAGUGGACCCUGCCGUGUCCCGCCAUGUGCCCGAGACCGGGUGCCGCCCGCCCACCUCCACUGCCCAGGCCCGGGCCCCUGCCCCCGUCCACGCACU
rnacentral:lncRNA from 1 species